rnacentral:rRNA from 1 species
AACGAACGCUGGCGGCAGGCCUAACACAUGCAAGUCGAGCGCACCUUCGGGUGAGCGGCGGACGGGUUAGUAACGCGUGGGAACAUACCCUUCUCUACGGAAUAGCCAUUGGAAACGAUGAGUAAUACCGUAUACGCCCUUCGGGGGAAAGAUUUAUCGGAGAUGGAUUGGCCCGCGUUAGAUUAGAUAGUUGGUGGGGUAAUGGCCUACCAAGUCUACGAUCUAUAGCUGGUUUUAGAGGAUGAUCAGCAACACUGGGACUGAGACACGGCCCAGACUCCUACGGGAGGCAGCAGUGGGGAAUCUUAGACAAUGGGCGCAAGCCUGAUCUAGCCAUGCCGCGUGAGUGAUGAAGGCCUUAGGGUCGUAAAGCUCUUUCGCCAGGGAUGAUAA